rnacentral:rRNA from 1 species
CAGGGGAGAGUUUGAUCCUGGCUCAGAUUGAACGCUAGCGGGAUGCCUUACACAUGCAAGUCGAACGGCAGCACGGACUUCGGUCUGGUGGCGAGUGGCGAACGGGUGAGUAAUGUAUCGGAACGUGCCCAGUAGCGGGGGAUAACUACGCGAAAGCGUAGCUAAUACCGCAUACGCCCUACGGGGGAAAGCAGGGGAUCGCAAGACCUUGCACUAUUGGAGCGGCCGAUAUCGGAUUAGCUAGUUGGUGGGGUAACGGCUCACCAAGGCGACGAUCCGUAGCUGGUUUGAGAGGACGACCAGCCACACUGGGACUGAGACACGGCCCAGACUCCUACGGGAGGCA